UACGGAUGCUCUAAUACUAUUUCUUUUCUUCGCAAAGCCUCUUGUGCCUCCCUCCCACAGCGUCUGCACUCCUUCAGAUCCCAGGAAAAACAAAAUGCCGUUCAGGAGGUUUGUGGAGAUUGGAAGAGUGGCGCUUGUGAACUAUGGGAAGGAGUAUGGAAGACUUGUUGUCAUUGUCGAUGUUGUCGACCAGAAUAGGGCUCUUGUUGAUGCCCCUGAUAUGGUGAGGACUCAAAUGAACUUAAAGAGGCUUUCACUCACUGAUAUUAAGAUUGACAUCAAGAGAGUUCCAAAGAAGAAGAAUUUGGUUGAGGCCAUGGAGGCUGCUGAUGUGAAGAACAAAUGGGAGAGCAGUUCCUGGGGAAGGAAGUUGAUUGUGCAGAAGAGAAGGGCCUCACUUAAUGAUUUUGAUAGGUUCAAGAUAAUGUUAGCAAAAAUCAAGAGGGCUGGAACUGUUAGGCAGGAGCUUGCAAAACUCAAAAAAGAAAGUGCAGCCUAAGAUGGUUCAGUUUAAUAUGGUUUUGUUGGAUCUUGUUUGAACUAGUUCUUGGUUUGUUUUCAACUAUGUUUUAAUUAGUUGCGGGAACCAAUUAGCUGGUGUUUGUGUCAAUGGAUAUUAUGAGAAGUUUGACCUCUAGGGACUAUUAAUGAAAUAUCUGCACCCUUUUUUUUUUCUUUAUAAAAAAAAAAAAAAAAAAAAAUUCUGCACCCGUCUCUUCUCCCUGAUCUUCGUGAUGGUACAAUGAAACUUUUAGACAUUUAGAAUUUA